rnacentral:rRNA from 1 species
GUGCCAAUAGCAAGAGGGAUCACCUGAUACCAUUCCGAACUCAGUAGUUAAGCCUCUUUACGCCGACG